rnacentral:tRNA from 1 species
AAAAAGUUAGUUUAUAAAAACAUUAAUUUGUCAAAUUAAAAAUAUUAUUAAUUAAUACUUUUUU